AGAUCAAAGCAGGCAGUGCUGCCAUAGGAGGGAGAAACAGCCUGGACUUGUGCUAAUGGAAAUCUCCUUAUAUGGGAAUUGGAAGUAGCUUGUAUUUACAUCACAGAGCAAAAGUGGGUGAAGAGGCCCUCAGGGGAGUGAGAGGAACAGAAUCUAGUCGCGGGCCAGCACAUCCCCUGCCACACCUGGAGUCCAACAGGCCAGGGGUCUGGUAUAUUCCCGCCGGAGCUUCAGCACAACUUCAAGCUUGAGUCUUCAGGCUCCCAUCCUAAGGUGGGCUGGUAGGGGACCCAGGCCCAUCUUCUCCUCUUGGCGCCAGCCCAGGGACCCUGUCAGAAGCACAUAAGGUGGAGAGACAACAGUCCUGCUGCUGAUUGGCCACAAGAGAACAGAAGAGAGGCCACAAGCAACUAGAGAUCCUACCCUUGGAGUCUUCUAACCAGGCAAAGUGUGGACUGGCACAGUCUGUGUGGGUUGGAGAUGCCAG